CGGCCCAUCAAGAAUAUAGGAAGCAGCCCAAUUCGUCCUUCUCCUCAAGCACGCUGUCUCCAUUUUUCCUCUCAAUUCUCAAAUCUGAAAACUCACAUCUCUCUCUCGAUCCGCUCCAAUUAGCGCCACCGCCGUGGCUGAAUCCGGCGAGCCGCGCCUUCUUCUCCUCGUCCAUUCAUCUCUCUCCCUUCACCCUUUUCAAUUUCUCACUCCAAGUUACACGCUCAAUUUCAAGGAUUGAGCCCUAGUUCUUUCCUUCAAAUCGCCUCCGAGUCUCUCCUUUACAGCAGAUACGCCGCCGCGGUUCUCUUUCCGGCGAAGCCGGCAUCAAGUCAUUGGAGUACCGGCGAGGCCGCGGCCGGCCACUGGCGCUGCUCCCAUCGUCUGCUCACCUCUCCUCCCUCAUCCUUCUCGAUUGAGGCAAAAGGGAUGAGCAGUCCGCCGCUGCCUUCUUAUAAAUCCGGCGAGCGGCUGCGUCCUUCUCUCCGGCGCAGGUCGACGCCUUCGCGUCGGAGUUCCUCUCCUCCCGCCGCUCUGUUUCUCGCCAGGUGCCCCAACCGAGCUCUAUUUUUGUCAUACACUACCGCUCCUGCUGUCUGUGAGUCGGCGAGGCCGCCGCAUCGUAGCCCCUCUCUGGUUUGGUCCGGCGAGCAGCAAGCACGCAGAUUCGCCUCCGCUACAUGCCUUCAAGAGUUAGCGUCGGCUCUCGAUUUUUUAUGAAGCAUCGUCGUGCACGUCCUCCAGAUAUGUCGCGAUCGUCUACGGCUCCGGUACCUCGACAAAGCAGGGCAGUCAUCGCUUCUCAGCCCCACACCUAAACACGAGCCUAGCUCUCCCGGCUUGGUUCCAGACUUGGGUUCUAGAACUUAGUUAAGCAAGGGAGAACUAAGAAGAAAAAAAAUGGAUAAGGCUAAGCCAAUCUUACCUCUUCGAAGUUUUGCAGCAGCUAGACAACUCUCUCAAGCUCUUGAUGCUUAAAGAAGUAAGGACGACUGUUGGCUGAAUAUAAAGAGUAGAGUUGUUGUUAUUGAGUUUGAAAUGAAAGGUGAGUGACUGAUUGACCUGCUACUAUACCAGGGGAUGGCCUUGGCCGAGAAGGGAUGGCCUUGGCUAAAAAGGUGGUUGCAGAAUAGCUUGUAGUUGUACUUGAACUCAUCUCCUUGCUUUUGUGUAUAGUUAGUAGUAAAAGAUUGAUGAUGGUAAAUAUGGUUUUGAUGGGAUGAUACAUAAUUAAAAUCCUCCACUCUUGAUUAA